UGCAACUGUGUGUUUUCCUGGAGUCCUACAGGAGGGAAGGGACAGAUUAUCCAGAAUAUUCCUGAAAUGCAGAGCUUUCCUAUUCAUACUGACAUCUUGUGGCAGUCCGGUAUUACUGCAGCCUGCGUUGCCUGGUGAAUUGAACGUUCAGUUUUACCAAGAUUGAUUUUCCUCUUCCAUGCAGUAAUUGGACCAGAAGCUACUAAACCCCUGGCAGGUGCCAUGCACUGUGCUAAGUACUUGGGGACAUUCAGACAUACUUGUAGAAGAACGGUGGCCGAGACCAUUACCGGAAGCUAUGAUAAUAGCACGACCCUGAUAGAUAGAACUACAAAGAAUCAGCGAGCACCUGUCCUGCGGGUCCUGCGGGUUACCAGGGGCUCAGUACGAUCUCUACUAUCUGCUCUGCACUUAUUUUCCCAGUUAAUCUUCGUGAGGACCCUAUCUGGCUGAGUACCUUUAUGACCAAGUUUCCACGUGCCUGCACUUCCCAGAGCCCAGUGGUUGCAGUUCCUGGGACACAAAAUAGGAGCUUUCAUCCAGAAUGUGCUGCCGGGCUCUGUAGACCUCUCUGAAAUCAACGUCACAUAUUAUCCAGGUUGCUAUGGAAACCAACAUGUCAGAUCAG
rnacentral:lncRNA from 1 species